rnacentral:tRNA from 1 species
GUGGCUAUAGCUCAGUUGGUAGAGCCCCGGAUUGUGNNNGGGUUCGAGCCCCAUUAGCCACCCCA